GACGAACGCUGGCGGCGUGCUUAACACAUGCAAGUCGAACGGAAAGGCCCUGCUUUUGGGGGGUGCUCGAGGGGCGAACGGGUGAGUAACACGUGAGUAACCUGCCCUUGACUUUGGGAUAACGUCAGGAAACUGGGGCUAAUACCGGAUAGGAGCUCCUGCUGCAUGGUGGGGGUUGGAAAGUUUCGGCGGUUGGGGAUGGACUCGCGGCUUAUCAGCUUGUUGGUGGGGUAGUGGCUUACCAAGGCUUUGACGGGUAGCCGGCCUGAGAGGGUGACCGGCCACAUUGGGCCUGAGAUACGGCCCAGACUCCUACGGGAGGCAGCAGUGGGGAAUAUUGCACAAUGGGCGGAAGCCUGAUGCAGCAACGCCGCGUGCGGGAUGACGGCCUUCGGGUUGCAAACCGCUUUCGCCUGUGACGAAGCGUGAGUGACGGUAAUGGGUAAAGAAGCACCGGCUAACUACGUG
rnacentral:rRNA from 1 species